rnacentral:rRNA from 1 species
AUUGAACGCUGGCGGCAUGCCUUACACAUGCAAGUCGAACGGCAGCAUGGAGAGCUUGCUCUCUGAUGGCGAGUGGCGAACGGGUGAGUAAUGCAUCGGAACGUACCGUGUAAUGGGGAAUAACGUAGCGAAAGUUACGCUAAUACCGCAUACGACCUGAGGGUGAAAGCAGGGGAUCGCAAGACCUUGCGUUAUACGAGCAGCCGAUGUCAGAUUAGCUAGUUGGUGAGGUAAAGGCUCACCAAGGCGACGAUCUGUAGCGGGUCUGAGAGGAUGAUCCGCCACACUGGGACUGAGACACGGCCCAGACUCCUACGGGAGGCAGCAGUGGGGAAUUUUGGACAAUGGGGGCAACCCUGAUCCAGCCAUGCCGCGUGAGUGAAGAAGGCCUUCGGGUUGUAAAGCUCUUUCGGCCGGGAAGAAAUCGCACAGGCUAAUACUCUGUGUGGAUGACGGUACCGGCAUAAGAAGCACCGGCUAACUACGUGCCAGCCGCCGCGGUAA